AACUCCCUCGCUCGCUCCUGCAGCCGCCUCCCUCUCACUCGCUCGCUCCUCAUCCGGCGAGACAAGCCUUCUCCUCUCCCGCAACUCCAGCCCCGCCGCCGCCGACGACGACCUCUCCUCUCCCGCAACUCCAGUACGCCGCCGCGCCCCUUCCCCUCUCCCACCGCCGUCGAGACGCGCACCCACCGCGGCCAUUGCCCUCUCCCACCGCCGCUCCUCCUUCCGCCCCAACACAUAGCUAGCGGAUUCGAUCCGUCUCCCUCCCCGUCCGACCUCCACCGAGCCGCUCCCACGGCGACCGAGCUGCCGUCCCUCUCUCCCUCCGCACGCACGGAACCCUAGCCCGCGGCCAUGGCAGGAGCUGCAGCACGGGCCUCUCCUCCAACACCUCGACAAUGGAGGAGCCAUGACCCCACCACCGUCGCCCCCGUCAUGCCGCCGCUCCUCCUGCUCCUCCUCGCCGCCCUCGCGCUCGCCCUCGCCCCGGCCCUCCCCCACGCCGCCGCCGGAGGGGGCGCCAGGUUCUACGACCCGGCGCGGGUCACCCAGAUCUCAUGGCGCCCCAGGGCGUUCCUGUACAGCGGCUUCCUCUCGCACGCCGAGUGCGACCACCUCAUCAAGCUGGCCAAGGGGAGGCUGGAGAAGUCGAUGGUGGCCGACAAUGAGUCCGGGAAGAGUGUCAUGAGCCAGGUGCGCACAAGCUCCGGCACCUUCUUGUCCAAGCGCGAGGAUGAAAUUAUCUCUGGAAUUGGAAAGUGUGUAGCUGCUUGGACGUUUCUCCCUGAAGAAAAUGCCGAGUCGAUGCAGGUUCUGCAUUAUGAAGUUGGUCAGAAGUAUGAUGCCCACUUCAAUUAUUUUAGUGACAAAAAGAACGUGAAGCGUGGUGGUCAUCGAGUUGCCACUGUUCUUAUGUACCUGACAGAUGUGAAGAAGGGUGGAGAGACUGUGUUCCCAGUUGCUGAGGGAAGAGAUUUACAACAUAAGGAUGAAACGUGGUCGGAGUGCGCGAGACAUGGCCUGGCAGUGACCUGCUUGCUGAAUAGUAACAUGGAGACCACCCUGACUGGCCACGAUUCGUCUCGUCUUCCUCCCCGGCAAGCAAAGGCAUAGCAGCAUCUCCAACCCCUUCCUGACAAGCUGCAGGUCUUAAACGAGGUCCCAGCCGAGGAGAUUAUAGCUAAGGAAAAAAAGAUCUGGAAGAUAGAGCAGUUUGACUACAACCAUGACGCUGGUGACUGCCCCUUUCUUGGUUCUGGUGACUGGUGAGGCACUUGCCUUUCCCGUCAAAGGGAAAUUAAAAAGAGUAAAGAUGUUAUUUACAAGACAAAAAGGCCUGAAGCAAAGGACGGAGAGUAUAUCUCAACAAUAAGUAAUUAAACAUGGUAAGUAAUUCAUCACGCCCUCGGAAUUUUUUGUUGAGCAGAGAUGUCCUAGAGGUAUAUUCUUCUAUUCUAGAUCCAGAUGUAACUCUGUUUUUAAUUCUUCGGAAAGUAAACAUGUUUGGAUGCUCCCAGCCUAUCAGAUAUGAAGCACGUCUUGCCAGGUUGGAUGUAGCUGGGGGCAAUAGGUGUGCAGCAAGCUUCAAUUCCAAUUUUUAUUGGGUCAUAUGUAAUGCUUUGGUGUGUUAUACUGCACUGAAACUAUAUCACUUGUUUUAGUUGCUUUGCUUUAGUUGCUUUGCUUUUGGAGGCUCCAUCAGAAUAGAGUGCAGGCUUUUGCUUGUCCUAAUCAAACAUCAGCGUAUUGAUUACUAUCUUGAAGAUGAGUUUUUCUCAUACAAUGGAAGAUGGAUUUAUAAUCGAACUGAAUGUGCAAAUGAAAAUUUUUAUCAGGUGAGCUAACUUUGCCCAUGACUAUUGAGCUAUAACAUAAAUUUGUAGGUACCUUGCAAUAUGAAUUUUUUUCUCAUAAUUUCAAAAUUACAAAGUGCACUUAAUUGCAGAUGAUGUGCCUUAUGGAAGAUGUGAGCACUCAUAUUUUGUACUUAGAAUUUGGAAAUACGCUUUUGGUUGGUUUAGUUUAUAGUUUAGUAAUACUACUUGAGACAACCUUUUGAAAAUAUAUGUAAGAAGACCCGAGUAUAUGUAGCUCUAGCUCUGAUAAGUGUUGGUGUGUUUAGUUUUCCAAUACCAUAGCUGAUGUUUUCUUUAUAGAAUAAGAUGGAACUAAACAUAUCCAAAGUAGCAUUUAGAAUUACACAACUCUGACUAGGUUCAACAAAUUUACUUUAUAAUACUCCCUCGGUCCCAAAACAAGUGUUGCUGAUUUAGUACAAAGCUGUAGAAUCAGCAACACUUAUUUUGGGACAGAGGGAGUACCACAUAGUUGAUCUUUCUUUCUUAGGAUAGCAUUCAGACCACCAUAUUUCCUCUUUGAUAAGCAUACAAGAACAAGCUUCAACCUUUUAAUCUAAUAAAACAAGAAUAUAGAGCGACUGAUCACUAACAUGUUCACAAUCUGAAGGAUCGAAGCAAUAAUCUGCAGAAGAAACUAUAUGUUUUGAGGAGGCAGAGUCAGGCGCGAGAGCAUGAGGUCUUUGCAACCGGUGGCUUUCUUCAAACAAGCACAAGAGCACAAGGAUCAUGGCGUGUAAGGAGUCAAGCAACGAGAUGACCCAGUCAAACUAUCAAGUAUUAUAGUUUAGCAUAACUAACCAGGUUCUUUAUCUCGCAACGCAUCGCAAGCUCACUUGAGCUAUGUCAUGACCCAACUAUUGUAUCUGUUUAAUUGUGAUCCAUUGUCUUGGCUUACUUUUGGACUAUAUAAUGACUCAUCGUGUUGGUUUACUUUUGCCAAAAA